rnacentral:tRNA from 1 species
GGGAGUGUGGUUUAGUGAUAGAAUGCUUGCCUAGCAUGCAUGAAGCCCUGGGUUCGAUUCCUCAGUACCA